GCGCACGGGUGCGUAACGCGUAUGCAAUCUACCUUUUACAGAGGGAUAGCCCAGAGAAAUUUGGAUUAAUACCUCAUAGUAUAAUAGCUCGGCAUCGAGCAAUUAUUAAAGUCACAACGGUAAAAGAUGAGCAUGCGUCCCAUUAGCUAGUUGGUAAGGUAACGGCUUACCAAGGCUACGAUGGGUAGGGGUCCUGAGAGGGAGAUCCCCCACACUGGUACUGAGACACGGACCAGACUCCUACGGGAGGCAGCAGUGAGGAAUAUUGGACAAUGGGCGCAAGCCUGAUCCAGCCAUGCCGCGUGCAGGAUGACGGUCCUAUGGAUUGUAAACUGCUUUUGUACAGGAAGAAACAGUUCUACGUGUAGAACCUUGACGGUACUGUAAGAAUAAGGAUCGGCUAACUCCGUGCCAGCAGCCGCGGUAAUACGGAGGAUCCAAGCGUUAUCCGGAAUCAUU
rnacentral:rRNA from 1 species